rnacentral:rRNA from 1 species
UGGUGGGGUGACUUGUCUGCUUAAUUGCGAUAACGAACGAGACCUUAACCUGCUAAAUAGCCCGCAUUACUCCGGCAGUGCGCUGGCUUCUUAGAGGGACUUUCGGCUCAAGCCGAAGGAAGUUUGAGGCAAUAACA